AUUUAGGUAGCGCCUCGUGAACUCAUCUUCGGGGGUAGAGCACUGUUUCGGCUAGGGGGCCAUCCCGGCUUACCAACCCGAUGCAAACUACGAAUACCGAAGAAUGUUAUCACGGGAGACACACGGCGCGUGCUAACGUCCGUCGUGAAGAGGGAAACAACCCAGACCGCCAGCUAAGGUCCCAAAGUCAUGGUUAAGUGGGAAACGAUGUGGGAAGGCACAGACAGCCAGGAUGUUGGCUUAGAAGCAGCCAUCAUUUAAAGAAAGCGUAAUAGCUCACUGGUCGAGUCGGCCUGCGCGGAAGAUGUAACGGGGCUAAACCAUGCACCGAAGCUGCGGCAGCGACACUUAUGUGUUGUUGGGUAGGGGAGCGUUCUGUAAGCCGUUGAAGGUGUGCUGUGAGGCAUGCUGGAGGUAUCAGAAGUGCGAAUGCUGACAUAAGUAACGAUAAAGCGGGUGAAAAGCCCGCUCGCCGGAAGACCAAGGGUUCCUGUCCAACGUUAAUCGGGGCAGGGUGAGUCGACCCCUAAGGCGAGGCCGAAAGGCGUAGUCGAUGGGAAACAGGUUAAUAUUCCUGUACUUGGUGUUACUGCGAAGGGGGGACGGAGAAGGCUAUGUCAGCCGGGCGACGGUUGUCCCGGUUUAAGCAUGUAGGCGGAGGUUCCAGGUAAAUCCGGUACCUUGUUAACGCUGAGGUGUGAUGACGAGGCACUACGGUGCUGAAGUGAUAAAUGCCCUGCUUCCAGGAAAAGCCUCUAAGCAUCAGGUAACACGAAAUCGUACCCCAAACCGACACAGGUGGUCAGGUAGAGAAUACCAAGGCGCUUGAGAGAACUCGGGUGAAGGAACUAGGCAAAAUGGUGCCGUAACUUCGGGAGAAGGCACGCUGAUGUGUAGGUGAAGCCCCUGCGGGUGGAGCUGAAAUCAGUCGAAGAUACCAGCUGGCUGCAACUGUUUAUUAAAAACACAGCACUGUGCAAACACGAAAGUGGACGUAUACGGUGUGACGCCUGCCCGGUGCCGGAAGGUUAAUUGAUGGGGUUAGCGGCAACGCGAAGCUCUUGAUCGAAGCCCCGGUAAACGGCGGCCGUAACUAUAACGGUCCUAAGGUAGCGAAAUUCCUUGUCGGGUAAGUUCCGACCUGCACGAAUGGCGUAAUGAUGGCCAGGCUGUCUCCACCCGAGACUCAGUGAAAUUGAACUCGCUGUGAAGAUGCAGUGUACCCGCGGCAAGACGGAAAGACCCCGUGAACCUUUACUAUAGCUUGACACUGAACACUGGUCCUUGAUGUGUAGGAUAGGUGGGAGGCUUUGAAGCGUGGACGCCAGUCUGCGUGGAGCCAACCUUGAAAUACCACCCUUUAAUGGCUGGUGUUCUAAGGUAGACCCGUAAUCCGGGUUGCGGACAGUGUCUGG
rnacentral:rRNA from 1 species